UCAACCCUUUCUCUUCUCCCUCAAUUAUCUUUCUUUUUUCCUCUAUCUUGGCAAGGUUGUCGUCUUCUCCGGCGACUUAUCGUCAUGGCCAAAUCUGUUCAAAUUUUCGGCUACUUUGCUUCAGAUUUUCUUCUUUUCCGACGACUCUGCUUCAGAUUUUCAAAAGUUCAAUCCGUAGCCAUAGCCAAAUCUAUUAUCCUACUCCUUCUUGGCUUCCACCAUCGGGAGUCUACCAUCUCCAUCACGCCUCCGACUCUUACUUCAAUAGAGAAAAUAGAUCUGAACUUUCUGGCACGGAUGAAUUUAGAUCUAGCUCUAGGAGCUCGGUGAAGAGAAUAGAUCUAAAAUUUUUCGAUAUGGAUCCAUGGCUUCUUCUCUUUCUUCGUAUCUCACAUAUGAGUGAUUCGUCUUAUCAGAUUUUGGUAGAUACAAUGUGAUAGUGUAUUCUCUGAUCCAGCCGGAUUUUUGUUCAUCUUCAUUUUUAUUUUCAUAUAAUAUAUAUAAUAUUUGCUUGGCUGGAAGAUGCAAUCUCCAACAAAGUUUUUUCUCUUCUUUGCUAUUGAGUCAAAUAGAAUGAUACAAUCACAUUGUAUUCUGUACAAAUACAUUCCAAUACAUUAUAUCCAGUAAUUAAAGAUACAUUAUAUCUUCGCCUGUAUUUAUGUAUUUCGAAGGUUAUUUUUGUGGCAUAUCCUUGUAUUUAUUAAAGUUUGUUGUUUG
rnacentral:lncRNA from 1 species